rfam:Physcomitrella patens subsp. patens PHYPAscaffold_58 genomic scaffold, whole genome shotgun sequence.
GAUCCACUGUGAUGAAUAAAAAAAAUUUACAUGUUAGACUAUGGAGAUGUCAAUUAGACAUCAAUGAAUAUCAACAGUUCUCUGAGUGGAUC